rnacentral:rRNA from 1 species
GAUGAACGCUAGCGAUAGGCUUAACACAUGCAAGUCGAGGGGCAGCAUGGUCUUAGCUUGCUAAGACUGAUGGCGACCGGCGCACGGGUGCGUAACGCGUAUGCAACUUGCCUCACAGAGGGGGAUAACCCGUCGAAAGACGGACUAAUACCGCGUACACUCCAUCUUGGGCAUCCAAGGUAGAGGAAAUGAAAUUCGCUGUGAGAUAGGCAUGCGUCCCAUUAGCUAGUUGGUGAGGUAACGGCUCACCAAGGCGACGAUGGGUAGGGGAACUGAGAGGUUGAACCCCCACACUGGUACUGAGACACGGACCAGACUACUACGGGAGGCAGCAGUGAGGAAUAGUGGUCAAUGGGCGAGAGCCUGAACCAGCCAAGUCGCGUGAAGGAUGACUGUCUUAUGGAUUGUAAACUUCUUUUAUACGGGAAUAACAAGAGUCACGUGUGACUCCCUGCAUGUACCGUAUGAAUAAGCAUCGGCUAACUCCGUG